rnacentral:rRNA from 1 species
CGUUCGUAGUUGAAUUUGUGCUUCAUACGGGUAGUACAACUACAAUUGUGGAUUGUACAUUACCUUAUGUAUGCAAGCGUAUUAUCGGUGGGGUUCUAUAUAUAAUAUUACGUGUAGUAUUAUAUAUCCCUCCUAUAUAAAAAACCUGCAUCAAUGCUCUUCAUCGAGUGCUGUUGUGGGCCGAUACAAUUACUUUGAACAAAUUAGAGUGCUUAAAGCAGGCUCCAAAUGCCUGAAUAUUCUGUGCAUGGAAUAAUGAAAUAUGACUUCUGAUCGACUUUCAUUGGUUUAUCGAUCAAGAGGUAAUGAUUAAUAGAAGCAGUUUGGGGGCAUUAGUAUUACGACGCGAGAGGU